CUGCUGCCUCCCGUAGGAGUUUGGGCCGUGUCUCAGUCCCAAUGUGGCCGUUCACCCUCUCAGGCCGGCUACUGAUCGUCGCCUUGGUGGGCCGUUACCCCACCAACUAACUAAUCAGACGCGGGUCCAUCUCAUACCACCGGAGUUUUUCACACUUGACCAUGCGGUCCUGUGCGCUUAUGCGGUAUUAGCAGUCAUUUCUAACUGUUAUCCCCCUGUAUGAGGCAGGUUACCCACGCGUUACUCACCCGUCCGCCGCU
rnacentral:rRNA from 1 species